CACGGGUGCGUAACGCGUAUGCAAUCUACCUUAUACAGGGGAAUAGCCCAGAGAAAUUUGGAUUAAUACCAUAUAAUAUAUUUGAAUGGCAUCGUUUGAAUAUUAAAGAUUUAUCGGUAAAAGAUGAGCAUGCGUCCCAUUAGUUAGUUGGUGUGGCAACGGCAUACCAAGACGAUGAUGGGUAGGGGUCCUGAGAGGGAGAUCCCCCACACUGGUACUGAGACACGGACCAGACUCCUACGGGAGGCAGCAGUGAGGAAUAUUGGUCAAUGGAGGCAACUCUGAACCAGCCAUGCCGCGUGCAGGAUGACGGUCCUAUGGAUUGUAAACUGCUUUUGUACGGGAAGAAAACAAACUACGAGUAGUUAAUUGACGGUACCGUAAGAAUAAGGAUCGGCUAACUCCGUGCCAGCAGCCGCGGUAAUACGGAGGAUCCAAGCGUUAUCCGGAAUCAUUGGGUUUAAAGGGUCCGUAGGCGGCCUUAUAAGUCAGUGCUGAAAGUUUUUGGCUUAACCAAAAAAUUGCCAUUGAUACUGUAGGGCUUGAAUAUCUGUGAAGUAACUAGAAUAUGUAGUGUAGCGGUGAAAUGCUUAGAUAUUACAUGGAAUACCGAUUGCGAAGGCAGGUUACUAACAGAUGAUUGACGCUGAUGGACGAAAGCGUGGGUAGCGAACAGGAUUAGAUACCCUGGUAGUCCACGCCGUAAACGAUGGAUACUAGCUGUUUGGUUUUCGGACUGAGUGGCUAAGCGAAAGUGAUAAGUAUCCCACCUGGGGAGUACGGUCGCAAGACUGAAACUCAAAGGAAUUGACGGGGGCCCGCACAAGCGGUGGAGCAUGUGGUUUAAUUCGAAGCAACGCGCAGAACCUUACCUGGGUUUGAACUUCUGCUGAAAGUCUCAGAGAUGAGAUCCCCUCUUCGGAGCAGCAUGAGAGGUGCUGCAUGGCUGUCGUCAGCUCG
rnacentral:rRNA from 1 species